rnacentral:misc_RNA from 1 species
GCAAACUUGGUCAUUUAGAGGAAGUAAAAGUCGUAACAAGGUUUCCGUAGGUGAACCUGCGGAAGGAUCAUUAAUGAAUAAACUGGUGUGGGUUGUUGCUGACCCUUUGGGGUAUGUGCACGCCUGCCAUUGUUUCAUUCUACCCUUCCACCUGUGCACUCUCUGUAGGUCAUACCAUGACUUUUCGGGUUUCUAGUAUUCCUGGCAUGGGGAAUGGCCUUCUUGGCCUUCCUUGAGUGGCUGUGACCUAUGUUUUCAUUAACUCUUGUAUGUUAACUGAAUGUUAUAAACUGGGCCUUCAUAAGCCUAUAAAUCUUAUACAACUUUCAACAACGGAUCUCUUGGCUCUCGCAUCGAUGAAGAACGCAGC